AGAGUUUGAUCCUGGCUCAGAUUGAACGCUGGCGGCAUGCUUUACACAUGCAAGUCGAACGGUAACAGGGGCUUCGGCCCGCUGACGAGUGGCGAACGGGUGAGUAAUGUAUCGGAACGUGCCCAGUAGUGGGGGAUAACUACUCGAAAGAGUGGCUAAUACCGCAUGAGAACUGAGGUUGAAAGCGGGGGACCUUCGGGCCUCGCGCUACUGGAGCGGCUGAUAUCAGAUUAGGUAGUUGGUGGGGUAAGAGCCUACCAAGCCUGCGAUCUGUAGCUGGUCUGAGAGGACGACCAGCCACACUGGGACUGAGACACGGCCCAGACUCCUACGGGAGGCAGCAGUGGGGAAUUUUGGACAAUGGGCGCAAGCCUGAUCCAGCAAUGCCGCGUGCAGGACGAAGGCCUUCGGGUUGUAAACUGCUUUUGUACAGAACGAAAAGGCUUCUUCUAAUACAGGAGGCCCAUGACGGUACUGUAAGAAUAAGCACCGGCUAACUACGUGCCAGCAGCCGCGGUAAUACGUAGGGUGCAAGCGUUAAUCGGAAUUACUGGGCGUAAAGCGUGCGCAGGCGGUUUUGUAAGACAGAGGUGAAAUCCCCGGGCUCAACCUGGGAACUGCCUUUGUGACUGCAAGGCUGGAGUGCGGCAGAGGGGGAUGGAAUUCCGCGUGUAGCAGUGAAAUGCGUAGAUAUGCGGAGGAACACCGA
rnacentral:rRNA from 1 species